GGGGUCGUAUUUUAAAUUAAAAUAUGCACUUUGCAAGUGCGCGAUUUGGGCUCUA
rnacentral:tRNA from 1 species